AUGCCACCUUCCGUGCACGACACGGAAGGCCUGCUGUUCAUGAAGCAUGGUUGUGUCUUCAGUGCGCACCGCCGGAUGAACGACAUGUUGGGACACACUAUCCAUGAUUUAUGCCGCUUCAGCUUGGAUGAGUCUCCAUCGUGUGGAACCGGACUAGAAAGCCGCGAAAAUGAUUCCUGUUGCCCACCGCUAUGGAUCGUGCCAUCCAUGAAAAACACCUGGGACUGGAACCUGGAGGAGGACAGAUGCAAGUCGAAGAAGGAUUGGCCCGUCCUGCCGACUGGCGUCAAGUUUGAUCCCACGGAUCAGGAGCUGAUCAAGCACCUUGAGGCCAAAGUGAGUGCUGACAGCGCGAGAUUUCAGUCUCUCAUCGAUUUGUUCAUACCAACCAUCGACAGUGAGCACGGCAUAUGUUACACCCAACCUGAGAAACUUCCAAGUAUCACACUGAGUGGCCUAAGGAAGCAUUUCUUCCAGCGCAAUUCCAGGGCGUUCAAAAGGGGCGCAUGGACGCGUCGCAAGAUACAGUCGGAGUGCGGCAUGCACGCGAUGUGGCACAAGACCGGCAAUACCUUGCCGGUGAUGGUCAACGGUCGGCAGACGGGCAGCAAAAAAGGUUCUGGUGCUGCACACCAACAAGAGCUUCGACCAGCAGAGGACUAA
rnacentral:rRNA from 1 species